CCAGACUCCUACGGGAGGCAGCAGUGGGGAAUAUUGCACAAUGGGGGAAACCCUGAUGCAGCGACGCCGCGUGAGUGAAGAAGUAUUUCGGUAUGUAAAGCUCUAUCAGCAGGGAAGAAAAUGACGGUACCUGAUUAAGAAGCCCCGGCUAAAUACGUGCCAGCAGCCGCGGUAAUACGUAUGGGGCAAGCGUUAUCCGGAUUUACUGGGUGUAAAGGGAGCGCAGGCGGCCUGCCAAGUCUGGUGUGAAAACCCGGGGCCCAACCCCGGGCCUGCAUUGGAAACUGGCGGGCUGGAGUGUCGGAGGGGCAGGCGGAAUUCCUAGUGUAGCGGUGAAAUGCGUAGAUAUUAGGAGGAACACCGGUGGCGAAGGCGGCCUGCUGGACGAUGACUGACGCUGAGGCUCGAAAGCGUGGGGAGCAAACAGGAUUAGAUACCCCCGUAAG
rnacentral:rRNA from 1 species